rnacentral:rRNA from 1 species
AGUGAACGCUGGCGGUAGGCCUAACACAUGCAAGUCGGACGGCAGCACAGUAAGAGCUUGCUCUUACGGGUGGCGAGUGGCGGACGGGUGAGGAAUACAUCGGAAUCUACUUUUUCGUGGGGGAUAACGUAGGGAAACUUACGCUAAUACCGCAUACGACCUACGGGUGAAAGCAGGGGAUCUUCGGACCUUGCGCGAUUGAAUGAGCCGAUGUCGGAUUAGCUAGUUGGCGGGGUAAAGGCCCACCAAGGCGACGCUCCGUAGCUGGUCUGAGAGGAUGAUAAGCCACACUGGAACUGAGACACGGUCCAGACUCCUACGGGAGGCAGCAGUGGGGAAUAUUGGACAAUGGGCGCAAGCCUGAUCCAGCCAUACCGCGUGGGUGAAGAAGGCCUUCGGGUUGUAAAGCCCUUUUGUUGGGAAAGAAAAGCAGCAGGUUAAUACCCCGCUGUUCUGACGGUACCCAAAGAAUAAGCACCGGCUAACUUCGUG